rnacentral:rRNA from 1 species
UACAGAGGGUGCGAGCGUUGUCCGGAAUUACUGGGCGUAAAGGGCGCGUAGGCGGCCCGCUAAGUCGAACGUGAAAUCCCCGAGCUCAACUCGGGAACUGCGUCCGAUACUGGCGGGCUUGAAUCCGGGAGAGGGAUGCGGAAUUCCAGGUGUAGCGGUGAAAUGCGUAGAUAUCUGGAGGAACACCGGUGGCGAAGGCGGCAUCCUGGACCGGCAUUGACGCUGAGGCGCGAAAGCUAGGGGAGCAAACGGG